rnacentral:rRNA from 1 species
UGAGUGAGUGGCGAACUGGUGAGUAACACGUGGGAAACCUGCCCAGAAGCGGGGGAUAACACCUGGAAACAGAUGCUAAUACCGCAUAACAACUUGGACCGCAUGGUCCGAGCUUGAAAGAUGGCUUCGGCUAUCACUUUUGGAUGGUCCCGCGGCGUAUUAGCUAGAUGGUGGGGUAACGGCUCACCAUGGCAAUGAUACGUAGCCGACCUGAGAGGGUAAUCGGCCACAUUGGGACUGAGACACGGCCCAAACUCCUACGGGAGGCAGCAGUAGGGAAUCUUCCACAAUGGACGAAAGUCUGAUGGAGCAACGCCGCGUGAGUGAAGAAGGGUUUCGGCUCGUAAAACUCUGUUGUUAAAGAAGAACAUAUCUGAGAGUAACUGUUCAGGUAUUGACGGUAUUUAACCAGAAAGCCACGGCUAACUACGUGCCAGCAGCCGCGGUAAUACGUAGGUGGCAAGCGUUGUCCGGAUUUAUUGGGCGUAAAGCGAGCGCAGGCGGUUUUUUAAGUCUGAUGUGAAAGCCUUCGGCUCAACCGAAGAAGUGCAUCGGAAACUGGGAAACUUGAGUGCAGAAGAGGACAGUGGAACUCCAUGUGUAGCGGUGAAAUGCGUAGAUAUAUGGAAGAACACCAGUGGCGAAGGCGGCUGUCUGGUCUGUAACUGACGCUGAGGCUCGAAAGUAUGGGUAGCAAACAGGAUUAGAUACCCUGGUAGUCCAUACCGUAAACGAUGAAUGCUAAGUGUUGGAGGGUUUCCGCCCUUCAGUGCUGCAGCUAACGCAUUAAGCAUUCCGCCUGGGGAGUACGGCCGCAAGGCUGAAACUCAAAGGAAUUGACGGGGGCCCGCACAAGCGGUGGAGCAUGUGGUUUAAUUCGAAGCUACGCGAAGAACCUUACCAGGUCUUGACAUACUAUGCAAAUCUAAGAGAUUAGACGUUCCCUUCGGGGACAUGGAUACAGGUGGUGCAUGGUUGUCGUCAGCUCGUGUCGUGAGAUGUUGGGUUAAGUCCCGCAACGAGCGCAACCCUUAUUAUCAGUUGCCAGCAUUAAAUUGGGCACUCUGGUGAGACUGCCGGUGAC